rnacentral:rRNA from 1 species
CAAGACCUGCACUUUUGGAGCGGCCGAUGUCUGAUUAGCUAGUUGGUGGGGUAAUGGCCUACCAAGGCUUCGAUCAGUAGCUGGUCUGAGAGGACGGCCAGCCACACUGGGACUGAGACACGGCCCAGACUCCUACGGGAGGCAGCAGUGGGGAAUUUUGGACAAUGGGCGCAAGCCUGAUCCAGCCAUGCCGCGUGAGUGAAGAAGGCCUUCGGGUUGUAAAGCUCUUUCAGCCGGGAAGAAAAGGUUGCGACUAAUAAUCGCAAUCCAUGACGGUACCGAAAGAAGAAGCACCGGCUAACUACAUGCCAGCAGCCGCGGUAAUACGUAGGGUGCGAGCGUUAAUCGGAAUUACUGGGCGUAAAGGGUGCGCAGGCGGUUUUGUAAGUCGGAUGUGAAAUCCCCGGGCUUAACCUGGGAACU